CCAAACAUACGCUAUGGCCCAACCGAGCCUAAAUGGAGUGUGGCCCCUUUUCCACCUCCCUCUCCUACUCGAUCCCUCGCCACUGCUGCCGGCGAUAUUGGCGACGCUCGGGCAGACAGGCGAUCUUCGCAACGCUUAGACUCCGGCAGCGCUCUCCAAGGCCUGCCGUGUAAUUGAUGAUGUUGGACUUUGGAUUAUCAAAGGGCUUAGAUGUGGCAACAUAUGUCGCAGGAGGCUGGUGAUUUAACUUGAAAGCAAUGGUUGUUACAUUCCACAAUCCCAGUGCAGCUUCUAUCCUCGGGAAACUUAAUGAUUGCCUUCUUACACCCGCAGUUAUAUGAAGGUUAUCAAGCUUCAAAGGAUGGCAUUGCUAUGUACAUCGAGCGCACUAGAUGCAGCUCCAUCGUCGGAUCAUAUCAAUGUAGCUAGGUGGUACAACAAUCACAUUGAUCCUCUGUUUAAGUUGUGGUAUGUGCUUGAACUUGGUUUAGUUUAUUUGAACACAGGAGUCAUACGGGUCAUGCUGUUUGACCUGUAUGAUCUGAUAGUAGAGGCAUCUCUGAGGAAGACAAGGCUGCGAAAAUUAAGACAUCUGCGACUGAGGAGGCCUCGUCCUUUGCUGCUGUUAUUGACAAGUUACAAAUUCAAGCCUGAGCAGCUGAGGAAGAUGUGAUGUGGAUUUGUUUGGAGGCAGCUGAAGAGCGUGGAUCAUCGGCAAAGAAGAAAGAAGGUGAGUUUGAUACAUGUGUUUUGAGUAUUUCAUUCUAUAGUUGUUGAUCGGGUCUCUGUGUUUCAGGAUAUGUAUCCUAAUCAACAACAAUGUUUGUAAUCUUUCUAAUUGUACGAACAUGGUUACGUACCUACGCUCUUUCAGUUGUUUUAUUGUCAUCACAAACUUAACAUUCUUAUGGACA